AACGAACGCUGGCGGCAUGCCUAACACAUGCAAGUCGAACGAAGGCUUCGGCCUUAGUGGCGCACGGGUGCGUAACGCGUGGGAAUCUGCCCUUUGCUUCGGAAUAACUGAUAGAAAUGACAGCUAAUGCCGGAGGAUGUCGCAAGACCAAAGAUUUACCGGUAGAGGAUGAGCCCGGGGAGGAUUAGCCUGUUGGUGGGGUAAAGGCCUACCAAGGCGAUGAUGGUUAGCUGGUCUGAGAGGAUGACCGGCCAGACUGGGACUGGGAUACGGCCCAGAGUCGUACGGGAGGCAGCAGUGGGGAAUAGUGCACAAUGGGCGGAAGCCUGAUGCAGCAACGCCGCGUGCGGGAUGACGGCCUUCGGGUUGUAAACCGCUUUCGCCUGUGACGAAGCGUGAGUGACGGUAAUGGGUAAAGAAGCACCGGCUAACUACGUG
rnacentral:rRNA from 1 species